UGAAGACCUUACCCGAUUAGCUGAGAGGUGGUGCAUGGCCGUCGUCAGUUCGUACUGUGAAGCAUCCUGUUAAGUCAGGCAACGAGCCGAGACCCACGUCCACAGUUGCCAGCAUACCCUCCGGGGUGAUGGGUACACUGUGGAGACCGCCGCUGCUAAAGCGGAGGAAGGAGUGGGCAACGGUAGGUCAGUAUGCCCCGAAUCUCCCGGGCUACACGCGGGCUACAAUGGUUGGUACAAUGGGCAUCUACCCCGAAAGGGGAAGGAAAUCUCUUAAAGCCAAUCGUAGUUCGGAUUGAGGGCUGCAACUCGCCCUCAUGAAGCUGGAAUCCGUAGUAAUCGCGUUUCAACAGAACGCGGUGAAUACGUCCCUGCUCCUU
rnacentral:rRNA from 1 species